UCAAGUUACAAAGGGCGCAGGGCGGAUGCCUUGGCACCAGGAGCCGAAGAAGGACGUGAUAAGCUGCGAAAAGCUGCGGGGAGGAGCAAAUAUCCAUUGAUCCGCAGGUAUCCGAAUGGGGAAACCCGGCAGAAAGAACUUCUGUCACCGUAUGAUGAAUCCAUAGUCAUACGGAGGGAACCCGGCGAACUGAAACAUCUAAGUAGCCGGAGGAAGAGGAAGAAACAUCGAAUCCCUAAGUAGUGGCGAGCGAAAGGGGACGAAGCCCAAACCAAGGAUUUAUCCUUGGGGUUGAGGACCACAGACGAAGAAGCAGUAGGUAGUAGAACGGUUUUGGGAAAGCCGGCCAUAGAGAGUGAAAGCCUCGUAUACGAAACAGACUGUAAUUCAGUGGUAUCCAGAGUACUACGGGACACGAGAAACCCCGUAGGAAGCAGGAGGGACCACCCUCCAAGGCGAAAUACUACCUGGUGACCGAUAGAGUAUAGUACCGUGAGGGAAAGGUGAAAAGAACCCCGGGAGGGGAGUGAAAGAGAACCUGAAACCCUGUGUCUACAAGCUGCGGAAGCACGACUAACGUGCAACCGUGUACUUUUUGUAGAACGGUCCGGCGAGUUGCCGUUGCUGGCAGGUUAAGUACUUAAGGUACGGAGCCGAAGGGAAACCAAGUCUUAACAGGGCGGUAAGUCAGUAACGGCAGACCCGAAACCGGGUGACCUACCCAUGGCCAGGAUGAAGUCUGCGUAAAAGUGGAUGGAGGUCCGAACACACGUCUGUUGAAAAAGGCGGUGAUGAGCUGUGGGUAGCGGAGAAAUUCCAAUCGAACUCGGAGAUAGCUGGUUCUCCCCGAAAUAGCUUUAGGGCUAGCCUCGGUAUAGUCUAAUGGAGGUAGAGCACUGAAUCGCUGCGGGGGCGUCAAAGUCUACCAAAGCGUAUCAAACUCCGAAUGCCAUAUAGAUGUUUACCGGGAGUCAGACUGUAUGAGAUAAGUCGGACAGUCAAAAGGGAAACAGCCCAGACCAUCUGCUAAGGUCCCAAAGUGUAUGUUAAGUGGUAAAGGAUGUGGGGUUUCGAAGACAACUAGGAUGUUGGCUCAGAAGCAGCCAUUCAUUCAAAGAGUGCGUAAUAGCUCACUAGUCGAGAGGUCCUGCGCCGAAAAUGUCCGGGGCUGAAACAUAACACCGAAGCAAUGGAACAUACCGUAAGGUAUGUUGGUAGGGGAGCAUUGAUAACACGAAGAAGCGGUACCGUAAGGAGUCGUGGAGAGUUAUCAAGAGAGAAUGCCGGAAUGAGUAGCGAGAUGAAGGUGAGAAUCCUUCAGGCCGUAUAUCCAAGGUUUCCAGGGUAAAGCUGAUCUUCCCUGGGGAAGUCGGGACCUAAGCUCAGGCUGAGAAGCGUAGGCGAUGGACAACUGGUUGAUAUUCCAGUACCUCUGAUUAUCAGAAAUGUGGGGACACGGAGAUUCAGGAAGAGCCUGUAAAGGAUUCAGGUGCAAGCAUGGUUUAUGCCGGGCAGGCAAAUCCGCCCGGGGAAUUGAACUGUGUGAUGCGGACCGAAAUAUAAGUAGGGAAGCUUCUGGGAGAGCCGUCGAGAAAAGCCGCUAUUGUGUAGUCAGAGCCCGUACCGUAAACCGACACAGGUGGAUGGGGAGAGUAUCCCAAGGCCGGCGGGAGAAGCAUUGUUAAGGAACUCGGCAAAAUGGCCCCGUAAGUUCGCGAUAAGGGGUGCCUGUAGAGAUACAGGCCGCAGAGAAUAGGCUCAAGCAACUGUUUAGCAAAAACACAGGUCUAUGCGAAACCGUAAGGUGAAGUAUAUGGGCUGACGCCUGCCCGGUGCUGGAAGGUUACGGGGAGUGCUUAGGAGUAAUCCGAAGGUACGAACUUAAGCCCCAGUAAACGGCGGCCGUAACUAUAACGGUCCUAAGGUAGCGAAAUUCCUUGUCGGGU
rnacentral:rRNA from 1 species